rnacentral:rRNA from 1 species
GACGAACGCUGGCGGCGUGCUUAACACAUGCCAGUCGAACGGAAAGGCCCUGCUUUUGUGGGGUGCUCGAGUGGCGAACGGGUGAGUAACACGUGAGUAACCUGCCCUUGACUUUGGGAUAACUUCAGGAAACUGGGGCUAAUACCGGAUAGGAGCUCCUGCUGCAUGGUGGGGGUUGGAAAGUUUCGGCGGUUGGGGAUGGACUCGCGGCUUAUCAGCUUGUUGGUGGGGUAGUGGCUUACCAAGGCUUUGACGGGUAGCCGGCCUGAGAGGGUGACCGGCCACAUUGGGACUGAGAUACGGCCCAGACUCCUACGGGAGGCAGCAGUGGGGAAUAUUGCACAAUGGGCGGAAGCCUGAUGCAGCAACGCCGUGUGCGGGAUGACGGCCUUCGGGUUGUAAACCGCUUUCGCCUGUGACGAAGCGUGAGUGACGGUAAUGGGUAAAGAAGCACCGGCUAACUACGUG